GUUUAAAUAGUUUAAAUUUAGAAUUAUAAUUUGUGGUAUUAUGGGUGUAAUUAUUUGCUUUAAGCC
rnacentral:tRNA from 1 species